AUGUCUGGGAAACUGCCUGAUGGAGGGGGAGUAACUACUGGAAACGGUAGCUAAUACCGCAUAACGUCGCAAGACCAAAGAGGGGGACCUUCGGGCCUCUUGCCAUCAGAUGUGCCCAGAUGGGAUUAGCUAGUAGGUGGGGUAACGGCUCACCUAGGCGACAAUCCCUAGCUGGUCUGAGAGGAUGACCAGCCACACUGGAACUGAGACACGGUCCAGACUCCUACGGGAGGCAGCAUG
rnacentral:rRNA from 1 species